rnacentral:rRNA from 1 species
AAAGAAACUAACAAGGAUUCCCCUAGUAACGGCGAGUGAAGCGGGAAGAGCUCAAAUUUGAAAUCUGGUAGCCUUCGGUUGCCCGAGUUGUAAUCUAGAGAAGUGUUUUCCGUGCCGGCCCAUGUACAAGUCCCUUGGAACAGGGCGUCAUAGAGGGUGAGAAUCCCGUCCUUGACAUGGACCCCCGGUGCUUUGUGAUACACUUUCAACGAGUCGAGUUGUUUGGGAAUGCAGCUCAAAAUGGGUGGUGAAUUCCAUCUAAAGCUAAAUAUUGGCGAGAGACCGAUAGCGAACAAGUACCGUGAGGGAAAGAUGAAAAGCACUUUGGAAAGAGAGUUAAACAGUACGUGAAAUUGUUGAAAGGGAAACGAUUGAAGUCAGUCAUGCUCUUAGGAUUCAGCCGUUCUGCGGUGUAUUUCCUUUGAGUGGGGUCAACAUCAGUUUUGAUCGAUGGAUAAAGGCACGAGGAAGGUAGCACUCUCGGGUGAACUUAUAGCCUCGCGUCAUAUACAUUGAUUGGGACUGAGGAACGCAGCAUGCCUUUAUGGCCGGGAUUCGUCCACGUACAUGCU